rnacentral:rRNA from 1 species
UGCAUAUCAAUAAGCGGAGGAAAAGAAACUAACUAGGAUUCCCCUAGUAACUGCGAGUGAAGCGGGAAAAGCUCAAAUUUAAAAUCUGGCAGUCUUUGGCUGUCCGAGUUGUAAUCUAGAGAAGUAUUAUCCGCGCUGGACCGUGUACAAGUCCCCUGGAAUGGGCGUCAUAGAGGGUGAGAAUCCCGUCUUUGACACGGACUGCCAGGGCUUUGUGAUGUGCUCUCAAAGAGUCGAGUUGUUUGGGAAUGCAGCUCAAAAUGGAUGGUAAAUUCCAUCUAAAGCUAGAUAUUGGCGAGAGACCGAUAGCGAACAAGUACCGUGAGGGAAAGAUGAAAAGAACUUUGGAAAGAGAGUUAAACAGUACGUGAAAUUGCUGAAAGGGAAACGCUUGAAGUCAGUCGCGUUGGCCAGGGAUCAACCUUGCUUUUUUGCUUGGCUUACUUUCUGGUCGAUGGGUCAGCAUCAAUUUUGACUGGUGGAAAAAGUUCAAGGGAAUGUGGCAUCUUCGGAUGUGUUAUAGCCUUUGUUCACAUACAUCAGUUGGGAUUGAGGAACUCAGCACGCCGCAAGGCCGGGUUUUUAACCACGUACGUGCUUAGGAUGCUGACGUAAUGGCUUUAAACGAC